rnacentral:lncRNA from 1 species
AAAUAAACGGCAAGAACAUGAAAUUGCCUCCUCACGAUUCACGAACAACUUUAAAUAAUAAAAAUCCAGAAUAAAUACAAAAUACAAAGAAAUACUAUAUGCCCAUAGUAAUUAAACUCAAAAAACAUAAAAAAGGCAAACACUGUCUCUCAAAAAUAAUAAAAUCCCUAAAAAACACCCAUAAGAAAUCCAAAAGGGAGGAGAAGAAAAAACAAAACAAGUAUAUAUAGAUUCAGAAGAUCAAAUUAUACAUCAAAACCAAACCUAUGGAGAUAAAAUACAAACAAAAGAGAAAAAAUAAAAACAAUAAGAGUUGAAAUAUUUAUGGAUCAUUUUUUGAUAUGCUUGACUUUGCUCCAUCCUUUCUUCCAUGAAUUUCCAACAAUCCUCACUCCCUUCUUGAAAAAUGACUUGACCUCCUUGGCUCUGUACUUCACCUGCUGUUCAAACCCACCCAUCGUAAGAGAGAGAGAGAGAGAGAGAGAUGGUUUUUUUAGAGAGAGAGAGAUGGUUUUUUUAGAGAGAGAGAGAGAGAGGAGAACUACAAAGUUAAAACGCAAAUAGAAAGCAAUAGAGGAAGAAACCUUUUUAAACAAGUAAGGUCUAGUGAGAUCCAACGCAUCUAGGACACGUGUCGUUGAUCGGUUGAUGCAACUGCCUUAAAACUUUGAUCUGAGUCAUUCUUUAAAGAUUACGUUGCUUGUGUGAUAAACAUAAAGUUUACAUGUCGGUAUUUGAUUCCUUCACCUCAGCGAUACUGACACAACUGGAAGGUGAGAGAGUCUAGCUGGCACAAAAAUAUCACAUUCUUUUAUUCGAGUCUAAAGUACACGUCUAAACAGCACAAAAUUUGUAUUUUUUCAAAAAUAAAAUAUCUAUAGUACAUCCAAAGUCAUAUUAAGAGUUGAGGAAAUUUUCUCCCUUCUAUUAGGCCCAGCCUAGCUCACUAAAAAAAAUAAAGUUGGGACCACGAUGGGGUUACAGAGUAUGGUUGAGUGCUUCUUAUGCUAAUCCACUAUAUAUUAUUUAUAUUAUAUGGUUUUCAUGUCUAUCUUUUGUUAUUUCUUUUAUUAAAUUUUUCAUUAAAUUGAAACAUACCACCUUGGAAAUAAAAUUACAUAUGAUAUGGUUG